GUGCUCCCUUCGGCAGCACAUAUACUAAAAUUGGAACAAUACAGAGAAGAUUAGCAUGGCUCCACGCUAUGAUGACAUGCAAAUUCGUGAAGCAUUCCAUAUUUAA